UCCGGUUUGUCACCGGCAGUCUCCUAUGAGUCCCCAACUGAAUGAUGGUAACUAGGGACGAGGGUUGCGCUCGUUGCGGGACUUAACCCAACACCUCACGGCACGAGCUGACGACAGCCAUGCAGCAUCUGUGCUGGCUCCCGACUUUACGGGUGGUUCCCCUUUCGGGGUUCUACUUCCAGCAUGUCAAGCCUAGGUGAGGUUCUUCGCGUUGCAUCGAAUUAAACCACACGCUCCGCUGCUUGUGCGGGCCCCCGUCAAUUCCUUUGAGUUUCAGCCUUGCGGCCGUACUCCCCAGGCGGGGCACUUAAUGCGUUAGCGCCGGCACCCAGGGGGUCGCUCCCCCAGGCACCUAGUGCCCAUCGUUUACGGCGUGGACUAC
rnacentral:misc_RNA from 1 species